AAAAAAAAAAAAAAGAUAUUGGAGAGAGAGAGAGGUGAAAAAUGAAUAUGCCAUUGCCGAUUAUAUAUAUAGAGUUCGGUUACUAUACUUUUAUGAGUACGAUCGUCCUAGCUCGUACUCAUAAGUUGUUUUUUAUAAUAGAGCUUUCGAAUUGACGAUCCACACCGUUAAACGUUAUCUAGAGUAUUUAAAACGUUUAGAAAUUAAAUUUUAUAAUUUUUCGACAUCAUUUACCUUACGAUCAAAUGGCAUUUAAUUAUAUACAUACAUAAAAAGAUAUAUACAUACAUAAAA
rnacentral:lncRNA from 1 species